rnacentral:rRNA from 1 species
AUUGAACGCUGGCGGCAUGCCUAACACAUGCAAGUCGAGCGGAUAAAGGAAGCUUUCUCCUGUCUUCCGCUACCGACGGACGAGUAAUUCCUAGGAGUCUACCUGAUAUUUAAGGAUAACGUCCGUACACGAGCCCUAAUACCACAUCCGUCCAUAUAUUGAAAGUGAUGGAUCUUCGGACCUCACGCGAUCAGAUGACCCUAGUUCGUAUUAGCUAGUUGGUGUGGUAAAGGCCUACCAAGGCGACGAUGCGUAGCUGAUCUGAGAGGAUGAUCAGUCACACUGGAACUGAGACACGGUCCAGACUCCUACGGGAGGCAGCAGUAGGGAAUCUUGGACAAUGGGCGAAAGCCUGACGGAGCCAUGCCGCGUGUGUGAAGAAGGUCUUCGGAUUGUAAAACUCUUUAAGUUGGGAGGAAGGACAGUGAGAUAAUCUAUUCAUGUCUUGACGUUACCUAAACAAUAAGCAACGGCUAACUUCGUG